CAGAUUUAUAAGAGCCGCAGAUCCUCGGCACUGGUUUGGCACAAGACUUCCCAAGCAGGACAUGUAACCCACAAAAUUUAGCCAGUACCCAGGGCUGCUCACAGCUUUGCUUCUUGUGAGAUUUAACGAAGAUGAUGGUCUUAAAAUGGUUUUACCACGAGAAAACUUCCCCACAAGGAAUACACCUGUUGUCUUCCCCUGAGGCCUCACACUGCCAGUCAACUAAAUGAUAGAUCCAGAAGGUUUACCACAGAUCAUGGGGAGACAAUACAGAGAAUAGCUAAUGUACAACUCAAAGGACAGACUGAUGGAUUACAAGCCACACUGACUGUAUCCUCACCUGAUAAAAGGUCUAGAGAUGGCCAGGACGGUCCUGAUGAACCACGUUGGGUAUGGUCUGAUGACCUGCAUGUCAAUCCGCUGCUCCUGGUCACCGAUGAUCACUGUUCGCCACAGACGACCAGAUGAGUCUCUCUCCUCUUCACUUUCACCAGGAAGGCGCUUGGCAGUGGCCACAGGGGUGUCAUCUAGACACAAGGUGACACAAAAAGGCCAGCCAGAGGGAGUUGAUGUAUGACACCUAAACUCAAACCAAGGACAUUACAGCUCGUUGCCAUUGUUGAUGAACUCCAGCGAAUCCGUCUCAUCGGGAGUCUCGAUGUCGUCUACGUUGAUGUCCAGGUCAUCGGGCGUUUCCAGAAACUCAUCAGACAGCAUCGACCCCUCGCUCUGAUCCAGGGAG